rnacentral:rRNA from 1 species
GAUGAACGCUGGCGGCGUGCCUAAUACAUGCAAGUCGAGCGAACGGACGAGAAGCUUGCUCCUCUGAUGUUAGCGGCGGACGGGUGAGUAACACGUGGAUAACCUACCUAUAAGACUGGGAUAACUUCGGGAAACCGUAGCUAAUACCGGAUAAUAUUUUGAACCGCAUGGUUCAAAAGUGAAAGACGGUCUUGCUGUCACUUAUAGAUGGAUCCGCGCUGCAUUAGCUAGUUGGUAAGGUAACGGCUUACCAAGGCAACGAUGCAUAGCCGACCUGAGGGGGUGAUCGGCCACACUGGAACUGAGACACGGCCCAGACUCCUACGGGAGGCAGCAGUAGGGAAUCUUCCGCAAUGGGCGAAAGCCUGACGGAGCAACGCCGCGUGAGUGAUGAAGGUCUUCGGAUCGUAAAACUCUGUUAUUAGGGAAGAACAUAUGUGUAAGUAACUGUGCACAUCUUGACGGUGCCUAAUCAGAAAGCCACGGCUAACUACGUG